UAAGACUUCGCAGAGAUGGCGGACAUUCAGACCGAGCGUGCCCACCAUAAGCAGCCGACUAUCUUUCAAAACAGAAGAGGGUCCUGCUGGGAGAAGCUGGCAAGGAGAAGCUCCCGCGGUACUACAAGACACCCAAAGAGGCUACUGAGGGCACCUACAUUGACAAGAAAUGCCCCUUCACUGGUAACGUCUCCAUUCGUGGGCGGAUCCUCUCUGGCGCAGUGACAAAGAUGAAGAUGCAGAGGACCAUUGUCAUCCGCCGAGACUACCUGCACUACAUCCGCAAGCACAACCGCUUCGAGAAGCGCCACAAGAACAUGUCCGUACACCUGUCCCCCUGCUUCAGGGACGUCCAGAUUGGUGACAUCGUGACAGUGGGCGAGUGUCGACCCCUGAGCAAGACUGUGCGCUUCAACGUGCUCAAGGUCACCAAGGCCGCCGGCACCAAGAAGCAGUUCCAGAAGUUCUGAGGCUGGACGUCGGCCCACUCCCCACAAUCACAUAAAGUUAUUUUCUCAUUCCAAAAAAAAAAAAAAAAAAGA